AUUGAACGCUGGCGGCAGGCCUAACACAUGCAAGUCGAGCGGAUGAAGGGAGCUUGCUCCUGGAUUCAGCGGCGGACGGGUGAGUAAUGCCUAGGAAUCUGCCUGGUAGUGGGGGAUAACGUCCGGAAACGGGCGCUAAUACCGCAUACGUCCUGAGGGAGAAAGUGGGGGAUCUUCGGACCUCACGCUAUCAGAUGAGCCUAGGUCGGAUUAGCUAGUUGGUGGGGUAAAGGCCUACCAAGGCGACGAUACGUAACUGGUCUGAGAGGAUGAUCAGUCACACUGGAACUGAGACACGGUCCAGACUCCUACGGGAGGAAGCAGUGGGGAAUAUUGGACAAUGGGCGAAAGCCUGAUCCAGCCAUGCCGCGUGUGUGAAGAAGGUCUUCGGAUUGUAAAGCACUUUAAGUUGGGAGGAAGGGCAGUAAGUUAAUACCUUGCUGUUUUGACGUUACCAACAGAAUAAGCACCGGCUAACUUCGUG
rnacentral:rRNA from 1 species